AUGAAUAAUGGCAUUACAAGUGAACUUGGCACAAUUACACAUGUCCUGAACCUCAUAGAAUCUGACACUAGCAAGUCUUCAUUGGCAUGCAAUUCUAGCUCUCCUAUCUUUAAUUCCUGGCUGCUGGACUACCUGCAGGACAACGAGUUCAUCUGCGGCAGCUAUCGCUGUGAGCAGUCCGUCCAUGAUGCGCUCCGCAGCGUCUUCGACGGGCACAACGAGAUCCUCAACGUCUGGAAGGAUAAAGUGAAGAAAAAGAAGAAAAGAUUACUAGAAGAUUAG
rnacentral:rRNA from 1 species